GAGGAGGAGGAGGAGGAGGAGGAGGAGGAGGAGGGAGGCAAGAGGGGUAAGAUAGGGACAGAGUGCACCGCCCCGCUGAACCAAUACCUCCUGAAUUAUUACACGCCCGCUCCCGCCCUGCUAGAGGAAGGUCACAUCAACGCAGCAAAGAUCAACGUCGCCGAAAUAACACACUGUUGUACGUAUAUAUUUUCUUUUUGCUUGUCUACGUGUCCGUCGCUCUAUCAAUCUUCUCUUUCUUCUCACUUUUCCUGCAGUCUACCCGUCGUGUCUUUAUCACCACCACUUCAUCUGUGAGUUUGCCUGGGCCCUCUUUAGCUAACAUUACACGAAAAUAACCCUAUAUACAACUAUUCCUAUUUUUCCUAUCCUUUUCCGUUUUCGCCUAUCAGUUCCCGCACCCAUUCUUAUGCUUACACUGCUUAACCUAACGAAAUUUUCCCACCGAAUCAUUUCUGCAACUGACGCAUCAUUCCCACCAGCACAUCUAUUCAAGCUACACACUCCUUCUAUACCCUUUAGCUCCACUCACACCAACCUCUCCUACUCACCCGCGCUCACACUGCCAUCCUGCUACUUGUCCGCUCACACUAGCCUACCAGGAUGCCUACCCGCCCACCCACACGCGCUCACACCCACGCCCAGGCGGCAUUUCACAUCCUGCUUCCAACCUCUCGACGGCAAAGUCCACGAAUGAGGCUCCAGUGAAAGUAUACUGUGUCCUUUCGAGCUACUAUCGCAACACAAAGGAGGAACUAAAGUGAACAGUCCUUAAGGCGGAUUCCUUCAUGUUCAGUGGGGUGUGCUGCCUGUCAUUCCUGGCGUGCGUGAAUCACUCGGUGUCACAGCCUCAGCAACAAAGGCAGAAUUAUGUCGCGCAGCGCUCCCCUGCCCGGCACGGCUCGGUCUGCAGCGUGUGGCGUCACUUCUCACACAAGGAGAGGACCGGCAGCAGGUGACGGCAGAUGUGCGGGCCCACAGAAAACUCGUGCGCCCGCCGCUCCUGCCACAGCUGGGCCUACUGGGCAGUCUCCCCCACAAUCAACAUCAGAGCGGCCGCCACCAACACUCGGAGCAGGCGCCACCAUUGCCAUUCAACAGGAUUCCCUCUCUCGCCUCCCCACCGACAUCAAGUGUAAUAACCCCUCUAUGUUGCAGUCUCUCCCCUCCUUCCACGCCUGCACGACGAGCAGUGCAUAAAGGAGACCCACGCCAGUGCACCCACAAUAUAAGAGCUAUCACCACCCAAUAUUUGAGGGGGAUUCCUGAAGACCUACCACUCCAUUAAGUGGUUGUUUCCUCCUUCCAUUCUUGUCUCCCCUUACAUCAUGGACUGCUGACCUUUUACAAUUGCUCUAUGCAAAUAAACUAAUUUGCAUAGCAAGAGAGAUUAUAAAUUCCAGUGAUAUUCCAUUUAUAUUCGAAUUACUUCAAACGACAGAAAAUAAUUAAUUCCUAGAAAUUCAAUAAGUUCACUAAAAUGCAGGAAGAAUUACUUAACGAACACGUAACACCGUGUCGAUCGUUUCUCUGAUGUGACGCGCAUAAAUCUCAAAGAACCUGACACGGAGCUCAACUGUGGGAACAUCUUAUCACCACCACCACCACCACAUCCACCAUCGUUAAUACUGAUUGCGAAAGCUUUAUUUUUCUCAAGACUAGGAAGAAUUAUAAAACAAAGUUCCUAUCUAUUCCCUAUUUGUCUGCAAAGGACGAGAGGCACAAGGGCCCACAUCAUGUGGCUUGUCAAAAUUUACAUUUUUCAAGAGAUGUCACCGAUCGCAGUUGUCCACCAAGUAACUAUGAAACAAAUGGAUAAAGUACUGAACUUGUUGAAAGUGUCAUCGUCUCAGUGGAUGGUGCUGGAACAUCCCAGCAGCCAGCAACAUUCGCGACCUCACAAUUGCUUUCUAGAUAAUAAGCUACUUUGUCAUGAAGUUUUGGUUUUAAAAUACAAAAGCAAAAUUAUUUUUUUUCUCUCGUUGUAACUCGUUAGGUCUAAUUAAUAUAAACAUAAUUCCAUUUUACAUAUCUGAAGUUGAAUAUGCUAUAAUCAUUAACCCAAUUACAGACACCAUUCCUGGAAUUCAUCUCCCCUAAAACUGUUGUACAUACCUCUCGCAUACAUUGUGUUCCAGUAUAGCUUUCUUCUAAAGUCAACAGUUGGGGAAGCUGCUGUUAAGAAUGUUCUAUUAGAUGUACAGAAUAUUACUCUGAGAGAAAAAAAAGUAUAUACAGAUUCCAACCAUACCUGCCACCACUGCUGUCAAUGUCAAAAUAUGAUACGCAAAGAAAGAAACAUACAUUCUGAGUCCUUCCUCAUCCUUUCCCUUCCGU